rnacentral:rRNA from 1 species
UCUCCUGGAAACGGGUGGUAAUGCCGGAUGUUCCACAUGAGCGCAUGCGAGUGUGGGAAAGGCUUUUUGCGGCAUGGGAUGGGGUCGCGUCCUAUCAGCUUGUUGGUGGGGUAACGGCCUACCAAGGCGUUGACGGGUAGCCGGCCUGAGAGGGCGACCGGCCACAUUGGGACUGAGAUACGGCCCAGACUCCUACGGGAGGCAGCAGUGGGGAAUAUUGCACAAUGGGCGCAAGCCUGAUGCAGCGACGCCGCGUGCGGGAUGGAGGCCUUCGGGUUGUAAACCGCUUUUGUUCAAGGGCAAGGCACGGUUUCGGCCGUGUUGAGUGGAUUGUUCGAAUAAGCACCGGCUAACUACGUGCCAGCAGCCGCGGUAAUACGUAGGGUGCAAGCGUUAUCCGGAUUUAUUGGGCGUAAAGGGCUCGUAGGCGGUUCGUCGCGUCCGGUGUGAAAGUCCAUCGCUUAACGGUGGAUCCGCGCCGGGUACGGGCGGGCUUGAGUGCGGUAGGGGAGACUGGAAAUUCCCGGUGUAACGGUGGAAUGUGUAGAUAUCGGGAAGACACCAA